rnacentral:ncRNA from 1 species
GUUCUUUAGUUGUUAAUUUUUUUAAUUUUAAUGAGUUGAUUUAUUUUCUUAAAAGUUUUUUUCUUGCUUACUUAUUCAUUUUUCUUUGUAUUAUAUGCAAGUUUUGUUAAACUAAAAGUUCUUUUUGCAGUGAUUUGAUUUAAUUAUCAAGUAAUUUUGGAAUUAGUAAUUGAUUUAGUAUUGGCAUAAUUCGUGCCAGCAGCCGCGGUUAUACGAUUAAUGCGAGUGAAUAUAUUUGGUUGAAACAGUUAUUUUUAUAUUUAGGGUUAAUUUAGAAAUUUAUAAGGUGAAAUUUUAAAAUUUUUUAUGAUUCUUAUUUUAUGAUUCUGUGAAACUUAAAUAAUAAACUAGGAUUAGAUACCCUAUUAUUUUAAGUGUUAAUUUUGCUUACCUGGGUAGUAUUAGUUAGGAUCUUAAAACCCAAAGAAUUUGGCGGUAUCUCAUUCCAUUUAGAGGAACCUACCCCGUAAUUGAUGAUACACGAUUAACUUUACUUAAUUUAUUUGUUUGUAUAUCUCCGUUAUCAGAAAAUCUUUUUGGAGUUAUAAUUUUCUUAAUUUUUAAUUGUAAAAUAUUUCAGGUCAAGGUGCAGCUUAUAAUUAAGAGGAGGUGGGUUACAAUAAAUUUUAGUUUAUUACGUAUUUUAUAGUGAAAUACUAUUAAUAAAGGUGGAUUUAAUAGUAAUUUAAUUUAUUUAAUUUAAUUGAUAUUGGCUCUGGGGUGUGUACACAUCGCCCGUCACUCUCAUUAUUGAAUAAUCUAUUUUAAUUUAAAGUUAGUUUCAAUUUAGAUGAGAUAAGUCGUAACAUAGUAGAUGUACUGGAAAGUGUAUCUAGAAAGGUUACC